GCUUUGGUCUUUCUUACCUAGCUCGGCCAAGAGCUGCUCCUUCAACCUUUUCAACUUUUGAUCCAUUUUCUCGUCUGCCGAACCGGAUCUUCCCUCCAAGCUGCAUUCCUCUUCUUCUGUUGCAGUUCCCGUUGUUUCGGCAAAAUAGUUGUCCGCCCCUUCAUUUUCUAUCAUCUCUCUUGCCCUCCUCCCAUGGAUUCGGGCCUCCGGUUCUUCCUCUUCCCCGGUAUCACGGCUGUUAGUUUGGGGGCGGUCAAAGGUAGGUCGGGGGUUCAUUGGUUCUGGGUUCCUCCACCACUGGGAGUGCAUUCACUGGGGUGCUAAGGCCCCUCUGUUGCAUUAUCUGCCCCAACCAGUGAGCAGUAGUCUGUAGCUGGAGAGCCAUGGUUUGAAUGUCUUGGUUAGACAGGGUCAUGGUGGGAGUAUUCCCUGCCAGGCUUGGCAAGGGAUUGAGAGGAAUAGGCAUUUGGUUAUUCAACGUUGUAGGGCUAGAAAAGGAGAACUGCUGCCCAUCUUGGGCAGAGCUCAAGUCGUUUGGAAUGUUAAGGUUACUUUCUUGGUGGUUUGCCAUCGUGGAUCUCAGUGGGUUUUGAAAGUGAAAACUCCGGUGAUGAAAAGAUCUCCUUCGUUUCCCACAGACGGCGCCAAUUGAUGAUCUGAGAUCCAAUAGAAUAGGGUUUU
rnacentral:lncRNA from 1 species